rnacentral:tRNA from 1 species
UCCCUGGUGGCUCAGACGGUAAAGAAUCUGCCUGCAAUGCAGGAGACCCAGGUUCCAUCCCUGGGUUGGGAA